UGGGGAAUAUUGCACAAUGGGCGGAAGCCUGAUGCAGCGACGCCGCGUGGGGGAUGAAGGCCUUCGGGUUGUAAACUCCUUUCGACAGGGACGAAGCUUUUGUGACGGUACCUGUAUAAGAAGCACCGGCUAACUACGUGCCAGCAGCCGCGGUAAUACGUAGGGUGCGAGCGUUUUCCGGAAUUACUGGGCGUCAAGAGCUCGUAGGUGUUUUGUCGCGUCGUCUGUGAAAUUCCGGGGCUUAACUCCGGGCGUGCAGGCGAUACGGGCUGACUUGAGUGCUGUAGGGGAGACUGGAAUUCCUGGUGUAGCGGUGAAAUGCGCAGAUAUCAGGAGGCACACCGAUGGCGAAGGCAGGUGUCUGGGCAGUAACUGACGCUGAGGAGCGAAAGGAUGGGUAGCGAACAGG
rnacentral:rRNA from 1 species